GCAAAGUGGCGCGAAUUAGGCGUUUGGGCUGGCGCAGUUUUGUUUUACCGCCCAAAAUCUAUGCGAAUGGCGGGAAAAAGUGCAAUUCGGGCGGGAGAAAGAUUAGAAAGUUGGCCCAAACAGCAGCGAAUAAGCCAUCAGCUGCAUUUCAAGCCUUCUAUAGCUUUUCCAAUUUGUUCUCAUUGGAUAACGGUUUAAUUCUAAUAGGACACUUUUCGUUAUGGGAGUUUUCUGAACACUGUGUGGGAAAACACUUGUACCAUUUGGACACACCGUCUCCUGCCAAUCAGAAAGCAACGGUUAAAUCCUACAGCGUGUCAAUUUUCUUAUAAGAGGAUGUUGUAUUUGUAGCAAAAAAUGCAAAGACACGACGGCAAACGCAGCAUUCUCUCCCGCUCUCUACUUCACUGUUCCACACACACUUGUCACCGCACACGCGACAUACAUUU